GACAGAGGGGGCAAGCGUUGCUCGGAAUUACUGGGCGUAAAGGGCGCGUAGGCGGGAUGGCAAGUCGGUCGUGAAAUCCCUCGGCUCAACUGAGGAUCGUCGAUCGAUACUGCCGUUCUUGAGGAUUGCAGAGGAGACUGGAAUUCCCGGUGUAGCGGUGAAAUGUGUAGAGAUCGGGAGGAACACCGGUGGCGAAGGCGGGUCUCUGGGCCGAUACUGACGCUGAGGAGCGAAAGCGUGGGGAGCGAAUAGG
rnacentral:rRNA from 1 species